GAUGAAGAACGCAGCGAAAUGCGAUACGUAAUGUGAAUUGCAGAAUUCAGUGAAUCAUCGAGUCUUUGAACGCACAUUGCGCCCCCUGGUAUUCCGGGGGGCAUGCCUGUCCGAGCGUCAUUGCUGCCCUCAAGCACGGCUUGUGUGUUGGGCCUCCGUCCUCCUCCCGGGGGACGGGCCCGAAAGGCAGCGGCGGCACCGCGUCCGGUCCUCGAGCGUAUGGGGCUUCGUCACCCGCUCUUGUAGGCCCGGCCGGCGCUUGCCGACACAUCAAUCUUUUUUCCAGGUUGACCUCGGAUCAGGUAGGGAUACCCGCUGAACUUAAGCAUAUCAAUAAGCUGAGGA
rnacentral:misc_RNA from 1 species